UUAGAAUUUUCUGUAAUGGUUUUUAUUGUUUUUUUUUCAGCAGGGCUUUUAGCCCAGCUCGAGCCAAUCAGGAUUUCAAAAAGCAUAUAAAGCGAAGUUGGCCUAUUAGAGUUGGCCAAAAUGCAUUUGCAGUGCUUCAUGGGAUUGUAGUUUUAUUUGGCUGUAAUACACAGUCUCGUACAUUUGUAUUUUUGACAAGUUUUCAAAUAAUAUUUAUUUCAGAAUGAAUAUUGUACAUGUUGUGAUUCAAGAUGUUGCGGGUUGUUAUGAUUUAUGGCGUAUAACGCUUUAAAGCAGCACAUUUCCAAUGCGGAAGAGUAAUAAAAACUCCAGGAAACAGUACGUCGAAAAUGUGGGCGGGUGCUGCAGCCUUGCACAGACUUUGAAUGAAACGGUCAUUUGCACUGAACUGGGGAAAAGCCAGCAAAAUUGGGCUAAGGGGCUUAGUAGGAAAAGGCUCUACCACCUUUACACACCAGCCGAACUAGACACGCGAAUGAGGCGGAAUUGCGUGUAUCGCGACACACCAAAUGCCUCAUUCGUGCCGCAAGUCCUCCAGACAUGGUCAACACGUCCUAACUCGUGCUUGAUGCAGGCUACUGAAAGGUGGGGUUUAGGCAGACUGAGAUGGUCAUUGCAUAGUAAUGAUAGGAUUGUUUAUGAGAGUUUACUGAGAAAUACCUUGUUUUGUUGAUGUUAUUUCCUUGUUUUAUAGAAAUAUAACUGAUGUAAAUGAUAAAUACUAAUUAAUUACGUAACACUGAAUAAAUUGUGAUGCUCUGUACUGUUUCCGCUGGUAAUUUGAGUUGUUUUAUCAUGAAGUCCUUGUGUCUGAUCUCAACAUCAGACUCUCUCUACCUCUGGAGGUUGAAUAUCAGGAUAACAACACAUACAGAUGUGUACUCAACAAUCCCAUCACAAACCAAACUUAACAUCUUAACAUCGCUCAUCUCUGUCAGACGUGUUCAGGUGAGUCACAGGUGAUGUUUGUGUUUAUUCAUUCACUUCAUCUCUGUUUCAUUUUGUUUUUUUCUUUCCUCAGACUCAGUCAAUUCUUGUGAUAAGACUGAAGCUGUGAUCCGAUUGGUUGUCUCUGCUCUGGUGGGCGUGGCUGCUGUAGCUGCUUUUGUUGUUUUGAUUUAUGACAUCAGAUCCAGAAGAGAUGAAUAGAAGAGAAGAUAAGAGAUUAUAAUAAACAUCUUUAAAUUA